AAGCCCCGACAGAAAUUAUUCUGUUAGUUGAAAUUUGCGGCCUCGAUUCUAGACC
rnacentral:tRNA from 1 species